GACGAACGCUGGCGGCGUGCUUAACACAUGCCAGUCGAACGGUAAGGCCCUGCUUUUGUGGGGUGCUCGAGUGGCGAACGGGUGAGUAACACGUGAGUAACCUGCCCUUGACUUUGGGAUAACUUCAGGAAACUGGGGCUAAUACCGGAUAGGAGCUCCUGCUGCAUGGUGGGGGUUGGAAAGUUUCGGCGGUGGGGGAUGGACUCGCGGCUUAUCAGCUUGUUGUUGGGGUAGUGGCUUACCAAGGCUUGGAUGGGUAGCCGGCCUGGGAGGGUGACCGGCAAAUUGGGACUGGGGUAACGGCCAGAACCCUAACGGGGGGAAGAAGGGGGGAUAUUUCAAAAAGGGAGGAAGAGUGAGGCAGAGAAGCCGCGUGCGGGAUAACGGCCUUCUCGUUGUAAACCGCUUUCGCAGGUGACGAAGCGUGAGUGACGGUAAUGGGUGAAGAAGCACCGGCUAACUACGUG
rnacentral:rRNA from 1 species